CACACACCCCCGCACAGUUGGAGGAGGCCCCCACCCAGCCUUCCUCCCUGUCGUCGCCCUCCAGCCCAGCUCUGUUCCUGCAGCCGUCCUCCAGGCUCGCCUCACCAGGGGGCACAGCCCCAUCAACCUCCCCCGAACCCUGCUCAAGCACUAUCUGGGGCUCCCCACUGCCCCACAAGCUGGCGUUCAGGGUUCACAAAACAUCCCAGGCCUAAUCUUCCAGUCUCAUUCUCUUCACCUGCCUAGGUGUGCCCACAACUACGCCUGAAGGAAGUGCCCUCUCCCGUCCUCUCCAGACGGCUGCCCCUCCCUAGAAGGGCCUUCCUUUCCGCCCCUCGCCACCCGACCGAUCGCUUCGUGCGGGCACAAAACGGUGGUUCACCAGUUCUUUCUGUGCCACCUUCACUCCGCCAGCCAGACUAUGAACUCCCAGAGGCCGUGCUCACCACCUCUCUCGGAGCCCCCAGCCCCAGUCCUGAGGCCGGGACCCCAAAACCACUGCCAAAUUUGAGGCCUGGGAAGAGCAUGAAAGGCCUGGAGCACAGUAGGAGGCACGAGCCCUUGGGAAGCAACCGUGACAUGCGGGCCCUGGACAGCCGGUCUUUCCAUCUCUCGAGAAAAGCUAGAAGCCUCCAUUUUACGGGAAAUCUUUUUUUUUUUUUUAAAUAUUGGCCACAAAUUGAAAACAAACAAGAAAAACACUGCGUGGCCACAUCUGGUGUGGGGCUCCAGCCUCAGAGAAAUGCUUUGAUAAACCAGGCUGACGAGCAAGGCACAGGUGAGUGGUGCCAGGGAAAAUAAAUCAUCUGAGGAAUUCCAGGGCAGGCGGGGACGAAGCUGGAAUUCCGAGAAUGGGGAGGGAGCCAUCCCAGGGGACCUCCUGGAGGAGGGGCUGCAGAAGCCUUUUCUGUCAGGACUGUGACCAGGGGCCACCCUGGGCCCUGCCUGCUGAGUCUUGACCUGAGAGCCCCCAGUCCUGGCUAAGCUCCAGAGAGGGCGAGGGACGCGGGAGGCAACCUGGUCUAUCUUCACCACCGUGGUGCUGGCAUCCGUGGGCAGGUUGGACCGUUCCAGGCCCUCUGUCCUCUGACACGGAAAGACGUCCCUGAGCACCCCACACAGCCCUGCACCCACAGCCACCGGCUCCUCCAACAGCUGCGGGAGAGUAAGAAGGGGCUCCGGGCCCCUCAAGCGCCACCUUGCCCUGCUGCCGUCUGUCCAGGUCCGCACCCGAUGCCCCACUCCGUCCCCAUGUCCUGCUCUCUCCCCUCCGCUCUCGGCUCUCUGUCUCCCGGCUCACUUCAUCUCCCCUCCAGAGCAGGACUGGGCCCGAGCUCUCUCUCUAAAGGGCCAAACCGUAAACACUGCAGGCCGUGAACCAGGCAGCCUCUGUCGAGACGCUACUCAGACGCUACUCAGCUCUGUGGUCCUCACACAAAAGCAGCAGAGAAGAAGGAAGGUGGCUGUGUGUCAACACAACUUUACUGACAAAAGGGGGUGGGCCAGACCCAGCUGCCUAGAAUCCAGCUCCACGAAGAACAGGCUUUGCUGCUCAGUGCUGACCCCCAAGCAGCCCCCGGAGCAGAGCCUGGCCCACAGAGGCCUGGUUACCACGGCCCCGUGAGGACGGCCGGGAGGAAGGAGCACAGAGGCAGUAUCUUAAACAGCCACCAAACGGCAGGGAACAGACGGGCGGCAUCCAUCAAUCCAAAGAGAUGCCAGUUUUAACGACAAGGCUGGGCGAUUCCCUGAACGAAGGAAGGGCAGCAUCGUUCUCCCGUUUCCAAACGGCACAGCUGGGUCCCAAGGGGGCGACGCCCCUACCCACACCCGAAACCCCAGUUUCCUAGUCCUCAGCUCCCUUUCCAUGGAGGGAGGAGGGAGGAAGGAGGAAGGAGGAAAAAGCUUCUGGCAGAGGUGGCACAGACACCCCAUCCUGUACCCACGGCAGACAUCAAUAAUCGAUCAAUGGUUCUCCCUGAGCCCAACUCAGCUUACAGACAGGCAGCCACUGCCGACCAAUUCUAAUCGGGACCUGAAACGAAACUCGCUCUCUGUCUGGAAAGUCUGCACAUUCUCCGUGGGGUGAUAUCGCCCCCACGGAGGUGAAAAUUGGCUUUUCGGGGGAGGGCAAAAUAAAACUUACUCUUUUUAUGCAUGAAGCACAGAUAUGCAUAUAGUACGUAAACAGAUAUAUAGGAUUUCUGUGGAUUCAAAUUUCAUGGGGGUGUGGCAAUUAAAAAAAAUUGUCUAAACAGGCUCAUUACGGAAUGAUGAUAAACAGAAGCUGAGAAACACUGGUCUAGCCUGAGUGGAGUGGUCUCACACUAGUGGGCUCCAGAACCAGCUGGAGGGCUGGUGAACACAGACUUCUGGGCGCUGCUUCCAGAGUUUCCGAUUCAGUAGGUCUGCGGUGGGGCCCGAGAAUUCGCCUAACGAGCUCCCAGGCGCUGCUGGUCCGAGGACCACACUCGGAGAACCCCACCUCUACCCCGAGCCCAGCGGUUCUCAGUCCCGGCCGUACAGCAAAGUCACCUGACAAGCUUUCCUAGAAUCCCACCGCCCAGGAUCCACCCCACAGACUGAAUCCAAAGCAUGAGGGCUGGGGCUGGGGCUGGGGUGUCAGUCUCUUUGAAAAUCUCCCUGGAUGAUCCCAGUGCAGCGGGGACUGAGACCCACUGGGCUGGACUGUGAGCUCCAGGAGGGCAGGAACCGUGGCUGUAUU